UAGGGAAUCUUCGGCAAUGGACGGAAGUCUGACCGAGCAACGCCGCGUGAGUGAAGAAGGUUUUCGGAUCGUAAAGCUCUGUUGUAAGAGAAGAACGAGUGUGAGAGUGGAAAGUUCACACUGUGACGGUAUCUUACCAGAAAGGGACGGCUAACUACGUGCCAGCAGCCGCGGUAAUACGUAGGUCCCGAGCGUUGUCCGGAUUUAUUGGGCGUAAAGCGAGCGCAGGCGGUUAGAUAAGUCUGAAGUUAGAGGCUGUGGCUUAACCAUAGUAGGCUUUGGAAACUGUUUAACUUGAGUGCAAGAGGGGAGAGUGGAAUUCCAUGUGUAGCGGUGAAAUGCGUAAAAAAUAUUGGAGGAACACCGGUGGCGAAAGCGGCUCUCUGGCUUGUAACUGACGCUGAGGCUCGAAAGCGUGGGGAGCAAACAGGAUUAGAUACCCUGGUAGUCCACGCUGUAAACGAUGAGUGCUAGGUGUUAGACCCUUUCCGGGGUUUAGUGCCGUAGCUAACGCAUUAAACACUCCGCCUGGGGAGUACGACCGCAAGGUUG
rnacentral:rRNA from 1 species